rnacentral:rRNA from 1 species
GACGAACGCUGGCGGCGUGCUUAACACAUGCAAGUCGAACGGAAAGGCCCUGCUUUUGUGGGGUGCUCGAGUGGCGAACGGGUGAGUAACACGUGAGUAACCUGCCCUUGACUUUGGGAUAACUUCAGGAAACUGGGGCUAAUACCGGAUAGGAGCUCCUGCUGCAUGGUGGGGGUUGGAAAGUUUCGGCGGUUGGGGAUGGACUCGCGGCUUAUCAGCUUGUUGGUGGGGUAGUGGCUUACCAAGGCUUUGACGGGUAGCCGGCCUGAGAGGGUGACCGGCCACAUGGGGACGGGGUUACGGCCAGGACUCUAACGGGGGGCAGCGGGGGGAAUUAUUGCAAAUGGGCGGAAGCCUGAUGCAGCAACGCCGCGUGCGGGAUGACGGCCUUCGGGUUGUAAACCGCUUUCGCCUGUGACGAAGCGUGAGUGACGGUAAUGGGUAAAGAAGCACCGGCUAACUACGUG